AAAAUUGACAAUGAAGAUCUCAUUGCAUCUAUCCUUAAUGGAUUGGACUCGGAUUAUAAUCUGUUUGUUUCUUCGGUAUCUAUUAAAGACAACAUGUCCCUGAGCGAUCUCUAUGCACAACUCCUCUCCUAUG
rfam:Setaria italica strain Yugu1 chromosome IX, whole genome shotgun sequence.